rnacentral:rRNA from 1 species
GGUAAUGUAUGGGGAUCUGCCUGAUGGCGGGGGAUAACUACUGGAAACGGUAGCUAAUACCGCAUAAUGUCUGCGGACCAAAGCGGGGGACCUCCGGGCCUCGCGCCAUCAGAUGAACCCAUAUGGGAUUAGCUAGUAGGUAAGGUAACGGCUUACCUAGGCGACGAUCCCUAGCUGGUCUGAGAGGAUGAUCAGCCACACUGGGACUGAGACACGGCCCAG